UGGGGAAUUUUGGACAAUGGGCGCAAGCCUGAUCCAGCCAUGCCGCGUGCGGGAAGAAGGCCUUCGGGUUGUAAACCGCUUUUGUCAGGGAAGAAAAGGUUCUGGUUAAUACCUGGGACUCAUGACGGUACCUGAAGAAUAAGCACCGGCUAACUACGUGCCAGCAGCCGCGGUAAUACGUAGGGUGCAAGCGUUAAUCGGAAUUACUGGGCGUAAAGCGUGCGCAGGCGGUUAUGCAAGACAGAGGUGAAAUCCCCGGGCUCAACCUGGGAACUGCCUUUGUGACUGCAUAGCUAGAGUACGGUAGAGGGGAAUGGAAUUCCGCGUGUAGCAGUGAAAUGCGUAGAUAUGCGGAGGAACACCGAUGGCGAAGGCAAUCCCCUGGACCUGUACUGACGCUCAUGCACGAAAGCGUGGGGAGCAAACAGG
rnacentral:rRNA from 1 species